rnacentral:misc_RNA from 1 species
CUUUCAUUAGCCAGAUAAUCUCGGCCAACGGAGGAACCAGGCAACGGGCACAAAUGAAAAAUGUAAUGGCAAUGUAUAUUAAUGUGUGGCAUUGGCCCAACUUCAAAAAAGAUGUGCCCCAAGUAGUAAAAUAAUGUAAUAUCACCUUCUUGGGGAGAAUGCAACCCUGUCUGCAGCCGAUGUGUAAGAAGAUUUAUAGAUCAAUAACAUGGGUGAAUUCAAGGUCAGCAAAAGAAAUGUGGACUCAAAAGGCAAAAUGACUUUUGCAGGGGUAGAACCACUGAAAUGCAGCAGACAUUUACAUCUGCAGUCUUUUGCAAGUUGAAAAUCAAAUAGGUUGAUCCAUGUUAAUAGAAAGCCCUUGACCAGACCAAACAGAGCCAGAGAGGACCGAUGGAAAGUCUAAUUGCUUAAAGUUCAAAAGCAUUAUAUCUGGGUAAGCAACAACACAAUUUUUUUCUAAAUUGAGAUGUUAUGUACUAUUCUUAAAGAUCAGGAAUAUGUACUGCACUGGUACUAGCUUUGUCUUCUUUUUUAGACACUUUCUUCCGUUUUUUCUCAGACUGGGGUUCUUUUGCUUUCAGAUCAUUGGAGAAGGACCUCAAUGAGGCAGCUAGAUGUUCAUUUCUAUGAGCUGAAACCAGAGAAGAGGGGUAAGCACAUCCAAGGGAAUCAAAACAUGCUGCUUUCUUAAUGUUAAAGUAGUGAGAGAAAAAGGACAGUCUCACUCCACAUCUCUUCAAUUUUGAUAUUGAAAACAAAACCAAAAAUAAGAAGUGAAUAAGGAAUGGGUUUGCUUGGAAAACGUAUUCAUCUCUCUCUAUAUCUCUUUCAAAUUUUCUAAAUCACUAUCAUUAUCAUAAUGACAUGGAAAAACCCAUAUGAUGAUGGAAUCAAUCAAACAAGAAAAUCACAAUUACGAUGCAGUGUUACUUAGGUCAAUGAUUCAUGCAAACUCAGUUACGUAAGAAAACUUACCAGAAAGUAUGACAUCUUCCAUGUUCACAGAUUUACGACCAGCAUGCUGUGCAAAAAGCUCAAGGUCCUUUGCCAGUUGUUCUGCAUAUUUGAAGGCCAAAUCGGCAAUGCAAGCAACUAUCGGUUCAGAUAUAUCCAUUCCAUUUUUCUUGGCUUCUGCUUCAGCGAUGGAGAUGGUGGAGAGUCUGAAUCGGUCUCGAAGAAGCUCGCUUUCGAAAUCUUCGUCUUCUCUCUCUGCAUCGGUUCCAUGCCCUCCUUCCAUUUUGAUCUAGAGUUUGAUUCGCCCAUCCUUUUUGCCUAUCGAAAGGAGGGAACGAAAAGCGCGGGAAGAAAGUUAACGCGCCGUUUUAAUUGGCACGUGAAAAGAACGCACGAAUUCUGUACCGUUUUGAUGGCAAUAGAGUAUAUCUUUUGGUAAUGGGCUCUGUUGGCCUAGAACAGAUGCCAUAUGUAGAAGGAAGAGUGCAAAUUUG